rnacentral:rRNA from 1 species
UACGGGGGGGGCAAGCGUUGUUCGGAAUUACUGGGCGUAAAGGGCUCGUAGGUGGCCAACUAAGUCAGACGUGAAAUCCCCAGGCUCAACUUGGGAACUGCGUCUGAUACUGGAUGGCUUGAGUUUGGGAGAGGGAUGCGGAAUUCCAGGUGUAGCGGUGAAAUGCGUAGAUAUCUGGAGGAACACCGGUGGCGAAGGCGGCAUCCUGGACCAACACUGACGCUGAGGAGCGAAAGCCAGGGGAGCAAACGGG